rnacentral:siRNA from 1 species
GAAUAAAACACCUGACCUCCCUCC